GAUAUGGCUCAGGACGAACGCUGGCGGCGUGCUUAACACAUGCAAGUCGAGCGAUGAAGCUCUUCGGGAGUGGAUUAGCGGCGGACGGGUGAGUAACACGUGGGUAACCUGCCUCAUAGAGGGGAAUAGCCUUCCGAAAGGAAGAUUAAUACCGCAUAAGAUUGUAAUAUCGCAUGAUAUAGCAAUUAAAGGAGCAAUCCGCUAUGAGAUGGACCCGCGUCGCAUUAGCUAGUUGGUGAGGUAACGGCUCACCAAGGCGACGAUGCGUAGCCGACCUGAGAGGGUGAUCGGCCACAUUGGGACUGAGACACGGCCCAGACUCCUACGGGAGGCAGCAGUGGGGAAUAUUGCACAAUGGGGGAAACCCUGAUGCAGCCAACGCCGCGUGAGUGAUGACGGUCUUCGGAUUGUAAAGCUCUGUCUUCAGGGACGAUAAUGACGGUACCUGAGGAGGAAGCCACGGCUAACUACGUGCCAGCCGCAGC
rnacentral:rRNA from 1 species